AGCAGGACGCGUGGUGAGCCCAGCGUCCUCCUAAGCCGCCAUCUUGCCGCUUCCUCAUUUGUUUUGUUUUGACUGGGAUAUAUUUCUUCCUUAAUUAAGCCACAAUUUUACGGUAGGUUGUGCCAUAGACAUUUUCAUAGUUCAGGCACCUUUUGGGCUUUGAUUUUAGUGUAAUUAUAAAAUCCGCUGACAGGACAGGACAGGACAUAGCUUAAAAACUUAAUACAGACUUAGGUAAUCAGCCAGUCUUCUUUGCCAGUUUUACUUUGAAUUAAUGUCUGGGUACCUUUUCAAAGUCACACUGUGGAAUAUUCCUUGAGCAUUUAUUCUCAUAAUAUUAGUAUGCAACUAAACUCUUUCUAUCUAAUUUUCCCUUCCAUUUUAAGUAAUAAAAUGAACACACAAGCCCUAUGGCACUCACGUAUAGACUGGAGCUUUUUUGGGUCCCUUUUUCAACCUUAAGCCAAUUGAUUCUUUACAGUCAUCUUUGGCUUUAUCUCUUGUAGCCACAUAAAAUUGACAUAUAAAUAAAGUUUUGACAUAUAAAUAAAGUUUUACUCACAUAAACCUGAAAGGGUGGUUCUGAAACAUGUCUGUAUUGUGCUAGGCUAGAUGAGGAAGUCUAUUUUGUCCCUUUUCCUUUUUCAGAAUGACACCAAUGACACCUUUUCCUUUUUCUUCCAUUUGUGGAUUUAUCCUGAUGCAGGGAUAAUGCUUACAUUUGUUUGUUUGGUGAGAGAAACAUUUGGAUCCCUGAAAAAUAAAGGUGUUAUGGAAACUUUUCAACCUGUUACUGCCUGUGAACUUGGAAUCUGACAUCAGUGCCCUGUUAUUCUACUCCCAGACCUCUAUUGAGAAGAUGCUUCCAAAGAGCUGGGUCAGGUCAUUGGAAAAAGAUUAAAUGAAAUUAAAGAGGAUGUGAGGUGGAGAGAGUAAAGUCCUACUUCAGGUUGGCACCUCAAACUGCCUGAAACACAAAAGAGAGACAUGUAUAUGAGUGAUAGGAGACAGAACAAGAAUGAGGUGAGGUAAGAAAGUAGAAGAUGUGGGUGUCAUUGAUAAAGUGAUUUAGUUUCUGAUUACAUUUUGUUGCUAAUGAAACAUUUGUGUUGAUAAUUCUUUUCAUUUCUGAAGAGGUUAGGGCACAUCCUUACAUAUAUAAAGACAAAAUUCAUUAGUAAUUCAUACAAAUAUAUUUAUUUAUUUAUUUAUUUAUUUAUUUAUUUAUUUAUUUAUUAUUU